rnacentral:rRNA from 1 species
UACGGAGGGUGCGAGCGUUGUCCGGAAUCACUGGGCGUAAAGGGCGCGUAGGUGGCGCGGUAAGCGGGUGGUGAAAGUCCGGGGCUCAACUCCGGAUCGGCCAUGCGAACUGCCGCGCUCGAGCGUAGUAGAGGCAGGUGGAAUUCCGGGUGUAGCGGUGGAAUGCGUAGAGAUCCGGAAGAACACCGGUGGCGAAGGCGGCCUGCUGGGCUACUGCUGACACUGAGGCGCGACAGCGUGGGGAGCAAACAGG